rnacentral:rRNA from 1 species
CAGAGUUUGAUCCUGGCUCAGGUUGAACGCUGGCGGCAGGCCUAACACUUGCAAGUCGAGCGCCCUGCUUGCAGGGAGCGGCAGACGGGUUAGUAACGCGUGGGAACGUGCCCUUCGGUACGGAAUAGCCCCGGGAAACUGGAUGUAAUACCGUAUACGACCUUCGGGUGAAAGAUUUGUCGCCGAAGGAUCGGCCCGCGUUAGAUUAGCUAGAUGGUGGGGUAAAGGCCUGCCAUGGCGACGAUCUAUAGCUGUUCUGAGAGGAAGAUCAGCAACACUGGGACUGAGACACGGCCCAGACUCCUACGGGAGGCACCAGUGGGGAAUAUUGGACAAUGGGGGAAACCCUGAUCCAGCCAUGCCGCGUGGAUGAAGAAGGCCCUAGGGUUGUAAAGUCCUUUCGAUGGUGAAGAUAAUGACGGUGACCAUAGAGGAAGCCCCGGCUAAUUUCGUGCCAGCAGCCGCGGUAAU